UUGUUAGGGUGCUGAGAGGUGGUAAUGUGGCUGGUGAGUCCCUCUGCGGCCUGCCCUUGGCAAGCCCAUCCAAGCCUCGUGUGCGCUGAGACAACACCCCGCAGCUGGAAGCCGCGCUGGGCUGUACUGCGCUGAAGGAAUCACUGACUACUGUCAAUUCAGAGGCAACGAACUGACAUUAGAGAAGAGGCAUUUUGAACCAUUCUUCAGGAAACACAAGCUGAGGAGGUGGUGGAUGAUGGAGCGGUUCAGGGACUGCAGCAGUUGGAGCUCUAAAGCAGAUACAUCCCGUUUGCUUUUCCAGUCUGGCACCCAGUGAUGGAGCUCUGCUUGGGACAGAAA
ensembl:lncRNA